rnacentral:lncRNA from 1 species
GUGAGAGGAGACUCUGCCUCCGGUUGGUGGCUGCUGGCUAGCUCUGCAUCCUUAUCUCCUGGAAGUGCAACUCUCCACAAAGUUGCCUGGAGGAGACACGGAUCCCUGCAGAAUAAGACCUCUGCUUGCUCCGGUCAACUCCGCUCCCUGUAGCUGACUUCAGACACACCAGAAGAGGGCGUCAGAUCUCAUUAUGGGUGGUUGUGAGCCACCAUGUGGUUUCCGGGAUUUGAACUCAGGACCUUCGGAAGAGCAGUCAGUGCUCUUACCCGCUGAGCCAUCUCGCCAGUCCAAGACUACUUUUUCAAAAGGGCAAAUUCAUUGAAAACAAAGAAGGGAGAGUCCAGCGCAUCUGGCCGAGGGAGGAUUUAACUUGAAGAUGACUUUAUGUUAAGUCUCAAAGGAGCACCAACACAGGCUGAGAAACCUUUAAAGGAAGCACGUGACACCGGAGUGUCAGAAGCUGGACCCAAGAAGACUGUCACUCACCCUCAUGGGACGAAGGUAUACCCGAGAAUUGGAAAGACCCAGAGUUCUCUCAUGCAUCACAGCUCAAGAGUCCAAGUCAGGAGUGGAUGCAUGGGCAGGGGACAGAUGCACGCCGUGGUGCACGCUGUGGCGCAUGCAUAGAGGCCAGAGGAUGGAUAACUUCAGAGAGUCAGUUCUCUCCUUCCAGCACGUGUCUCACAUGGCGCUGACAGAGACGAACUAAAAGCAAACUGGUAUACAGUGAGUCAAAGGGCUAGAUCAGAACUCCACAGAGAUGGCCCCCAAACUGCUGGGGGAGACAGCACAGUGGAGAGAGGCUUUUUCCUGGAAAAGGAGGAAGUGUCACAUUGAUCCAGGUAGAGGAGGGAGGAAGCCAGAAGCGGGUUGAAAGGAGAUCUGUUAGUAUUGAUAACUGCAUUCUGUGAACUUUAGGGCCACUGGGAUGACCCAGAACAUGGUCAGCUGAAAAGAGGAAGCCAGAGGCAGGUGAGUGGCCUCCUUGUAGAAGCCCUUGUUUACAGCAUCAAGGACUUGCUCUGCAAUGUCGGACACCUCGGCCAAGCCUUGAUUAUCAAGGAGAGACUGGAAGAUAAACAGAGGUCAAAAAGCCCACUUGAUUAGGGAGUGAGGAUCUGGUACCACUGUAGCUGGUGAGGAGAGAGAGAGAGCAAGAGAUGGAAAAAUGGGAGCUUAACCAAGUUUGAUUCCCAGCACCCAGAUCAGGUGUUCACAACCGCCCGAAACAGAGGACUGAGGCCUUCUUCUGGCCCCAAAGGACAUUGUGUGUAUGUACAUGGUACAUAGACAUACAUGUAGUCAAACACCCAAAUAUAUGAAAUGAAAAUAAAUAAAAUCUCAAAAGAAUUUCUUUAGAGGCAUAAGGUAG